AAAUUGUAUUUGAAUUCUGUACCAUGUAUCUAGCGACUCAAGAUAGAUGAUGUAUACCUAAUUUUGGGAGCGUCACACUUUCUCUCUCUCCUUUCUUCUUCCGACCUUCUCAUUUUCGCUCUCCUCCCUCGACUGCACAUACAAUCUGUACAUAUACGAACAAAAUCUGGCGCCAAUUGUACAGAAAUACCCAAUGAAAUAAUUCCUCCGGCUUAGUCCCAGCAGCUUGUCAUGGCUCGAAUACACAACCAAACUACUCAAACUAGACGAUCCGUACCGUUCCGACUUUCCGCUUUGAACAAAUCCACUGACUCCCACUCCUUCGAUAUCGUUGUGAUUGGUGCCGGAAUAAUCGGGUUGACUAUUGCCCGUCAACUUCUCCUCCACUUGGAUCUAUCCGUUGCAGUUGUCGACGCCGCCGUACCUUGUGUCGGCGCUACCGGUGCAGGUAUUCUCUGUUUACCGUUGUACUGGAUAUGUAGUCAAGUUUAAUCUCUAUCAGAAACUUUAUUUGAAAGUUAUUUCAGUGCACUGGUUGAUUGAUUUGAAAUAUUUAGGAAAUGAAACAGAAAAUGUAAUUUUAAUUACUCGUAAUGGUUUGACAUUUACCAUACUUGAGCACCUUGAGUUUGGCUAUAAGUUGUAUAUUUUUUAGUUUUACUCGUUAGUUUCAAGUUUUAGCUGAGCUUAAUUAAGUUUUUCCAAGCUCGAUUCAUGUAAUUGUACCCAAGUAUGUAAUAUAAGGUACGAUAGUUUGUAAAAUAUUUAUACGAUUUGUAUUUGAUUGAGCAUAUACACACUUAAAUUGAACUAGUCUAGUUAAGUUUUUCUUAAUUAAUAGUCAGUAGUCAGACCUUGCUUGGAUGGCUCA
rnacentral:lncRNA from 1 species